GAGUUUGAUCCUGGCUCAGAGCGAACGCUGGCGGCGUGCUUAACACAUGCAAGUCGAACGGCCUUCGGGUAGCAAUACUCGAGGGUAGUGGCGAACGGGUGAGUAACACGUGGGUAAUCUCCACCCGAGUGAGGAAUAAGCUUGCGAAAGCGGGUCUAAUACCGCAUAAAGCUUCGGGACAUCAGUCUUCGAAGCCAAAGCCGUAAGGCGCUUGGGGAUGAGCCUGCGUCCUAUUAGCUAGUUGGUAGGGUAAUGGCCUACCAAGGCGAUGAUGGGUAGCCGGCCUGAGAGGGUGAACGGCCACACUGGAACUGAGACACGGUCCAGACUCCUACGGGAGGCAGCAGUGAGGAAUUUUGCGCAAUGGGCGAAAGCCUGACGCAGCGACGCCGCGUGGAGGAAGACGGCCUUCGGGUUGUAAACUCCUGUCAGAGGUGAAGAAUGCCCGCAAGGGCUUGACGGUAACCUCAGAGGAAGCCCCGGCUAACUACGUGCCAGCAGCCGCGGUAAUACGUAGGGGGCGAGCGUUGCUCGGAAUUACUGGGCGUAAAGGGAGUGCAGGCGGCCGGUUAAGUCGAAGAUGAAAUCCCGAGGCUCAACUUCGGAACGGUCUUCGAUACUGAUCGGCUUG
rnacentral:rRNA from 1 species